UACAGAGGUGGCAAGCGUUGUUCGGAAUUACUGGGCGUAAAGGGCGCGUAGGCGGUUCGUUAAGUCCUGUGUGAAAGCCCCCGGCUCAACUGGGGAGGGUCACUCGAUACUGAUCGACUUGAAGGCAGGAGAGGGAAGCGGAAUUCCCGGUGUAGUGGUGAAAUGCGUAGAUAUCGGGAGGAACACCAGUGGCGAAGGCGGCUUCCUGGCCUGUUCUUGACGCUGAGGCGCGAAAGCUAGGGGAGCAAACGGG
rnacentral:rRNA from 1 species